rnacentral:rRNA from 1 species
AGUCAUAUGCUUGUCUCAAAGAUUAAGCCAUGCAUGUCUAAGUAUAAAUAACUUUUAUAUUGUGAAACUGCGAAUGGCUCAUUAAAUCAGUUAUGAUCUACGUGACAAAUUCUUUACUACUUGGAUAACCGUGGUAAUUCUAGAGCUAAUACAUGCAAAAAAGCCCUGACUUACGAAGGGGUGCACUUAUUAGAUAAAAUCAACGCGGGGUAAAACCUGUUUCUUGGUGAAUCAUAAUAAUUAAGCGGAUCGCAUAGCCUUGUGCUGGCGACGGUCCACUCGAUUUUCUGCCCUAUCAUGGUUGAGAUUGUAAGAUAGAGGCUUACAAUGCCUACAACGGGUAACGGGGAAUUAGGGUUCGAUUCCGGAGAGGGAGCCUGAGAAACGGCUACCACAUCCAAGGAAGGCAGCAGGCGCGCAAAUUACCCAAUCCCGACACGGGGAGGUAGUGACAAUACAUAACAAUGCAGGGCCUUUAAGGUCUUGCAAUUGGAAUGAGUACAAUUUAAAUCCCUUAACGAGGAUCAAUUGGAGGGCAAGUCUGGUGCCAGCAGCCGCGGUAAUUCCAGCUCCAAUAGCGUAUAUUAAAGUUGUUGCAGUUAAAACGUCCGUAGUCAAACUUUAGUCUUACUGGCGUAGUGGCCUGGUCUUCAUUGACCAAGCUCAUUGCUGCCGGAGACUCCAUGUUCAUUAGGGGAAAAUCUCUAGGGGUUUUUUUCUUAUUUGAACAAUUACCAUGAGCAAAUCAGAGUGUUUAAAGCAGGCUUUUAAGCUUGAAUGUGUUAGCAUGGAAUAAUGAAAUAUGACUUUAGUCCUAUUUUCGUUGGUUUAGGUACUUCAGUAAUGAUGAAUAGAAACGGUUAGGGGCAUUUGUAUUUGGUCGCUAGAGGUGAAAUUCUUGGAUUGACCGAAGACAAACUACUGCGAAAGCAUUUGACCCGGGACGUUUUCAUUGAUCAAGGUCUAAAGUUAAGGGAUCGAAGACGAUUAGAUACCGUCGUAGUCUUAACCACAAACUAUGCCGACUAGAGAUUGGGCGUGUUUAUUAUGACUCGCUCAGCAUCUUAGCGAAAGUAAAGUUUUUGGGUUCUGGGGGGAGUAUGGGACGCAAGGCUGAAACUUAAAGGAAUUGACGGAAGGGCACCACCAGGAGUGGAGCCUGCGGCUUAAUUUGACUCAACACGGGGAAACUCACCAGGUCCAGACAUAGUAAGGAUUGACAGAUUGAAAGCUCUUUCUAGAUUCUAUGGGUGGUGGUGCAUGGCCGUUCUUAGUUCGUGGAGUGAUUUGUCUGGUUAAUUCCGAUAACGAACGAGACCUUAUUCUGCUAAUUAGACAGGCCAACUCUUUCGGGUUGGUCUAUAUUAUAUAUUUCACUGGCUUCUUAGAGAGACUAUCGGCUUCAAGCCGAAGGAAGUUUUAGGCAAUAACAGGUCUGUGAUGC